rnacentral:precursor_RNA from 15 species
GGUCCCGCCGCGGCGUUGCCGGUUGCCAUAAACCCGUAGAUCCGAACUUGCGGUACGACUGCCUCACACAAGCUCGAGUCUGUGGGUAUGUGUCGAUCCUGGCCAGGACAUCUGGAGACC